rnacentral:rRNA from 1 species
GGGCUCACACAAGCGGUGGAGCAUGUGGUUCAAUUCGAAGCAACGCGCAGAACCUUACCUGGGCUUGACAUGCCAGGAUUAUCCCUAUGAAAGUAGGGUAGGCCCUUCGGGGUACAACUGGUACAGGUGCUGCAUGGCUGUCGUCAGCUCGUGUCGUGAGAUGUCGGGUUAAGUCCCUUAACGAGCGAAACCUUUGCCCUUAGUUACCAGCGGGUUAUGCCGGGGACUCUAAGGGGACUGCCGGUGUCAAACCGGAGGAAGGUGGAGAUGACGUCAAGUCCUCAUGGCCUUUAUGCCCAGGGCCACACACGUGCUACAAUGCGGCGCACAAAGCGAACCUAAAACGCGAGUUCGAGGAAAUCGCAGAAAUCGCCGCCCAGUUCAGAUUGGAGGCUGCAACUCGCCUCCAUGAAGUUGGAAUCGCUAGUAAUCGCGGAUCAGCUACGCCGCGGUGAAUGUGUUCCUGAGCCUU